CCUACGGGGGGCAGCAGUGGGGAAUAUUGGACAAUGGGGGGAACCCUGAUCCAGCCAUGCCGCGUGUGUGAAGAAGGCACUCGGGUUGUAAAGCACUUUCAGUGAGGAAGAACGCCUGGUGGUUAAUACCCAUCAGGAAAGACAUCACUCACAGAAGAAGCACCGGCUAACUCCGUGCCAGCAGCCGCGGUAAUACGGAGGGUGCGAGCGUUAAUCGGAAUUACUGGGCGUAAAGCGCGCGUAGGUGGCUUGAUAAGCCGGUUGUGAAAGCCCCGGGCUCAACCUGGGAACGGCAUCCGGAACUGUCAAGCUAGAGUGCAGGAGAGGAAGGUAGAAUUCCCGGUGUAGCGGUGAAAUGCGUAGAGAUCGGGAGGAAUACCAGUGGCGAAGGCGGCCUUCAGGACUGACACUGACACUGAGGUGCGAAAGCGUGGGUAGCAAACAGGAUUAGAUACCCUGUAGUC
rnacentral:rRNA from 1 species